GGCCAGUACCUAGUCACACAGCUAGAAGGAAAUAAGAAGGAAAGAAAAGAUAUACCAGAAAUAGAGAGUGGUAAAAGCAUAAGGCAAAAGGUAGACAGGAUAAUUUAAGAUAAGAGAAGCUGGCUAGAAAUAAGCCAAACUAAGGCCAGGCAUUCAUAAGAAACAAAAGUCUCCAUGUGCAUUUAUUUGAGAGCCUGAGUGUCAGGCUCCCAAAAAGUAAAGAGUAAAAAACAACCAACAAGGUUGUAAAACAAUUUUCAUCAGCAGAAGAGAAUAAGAGCCAGAGUCUUUCUUAUUAAAUUUGAUUAACUAAUCCCACUUACCAGCACAGGAACCUAAACUCCAGAAGCUAGCGACUGGCAAAUGGCCCUAGAAUACCUGGCCAAUCCUUUGGAGUCUGGUGAACAUAACAGUGUUCACACAAUUGAAGACAAGUUUUUGUGAGUCCUGCGGUAGAGUCCUUGGAUUCCUGUCAGUCAUCCGUGGGCAGAGCACACCAGCCUUUCCCUCAUUCUUCCAGUUACAAGACUCAGAGGUCACAAGUUCCGUUUCCCUGAGGCAGCUUAGCUGUCCUUUUCAUUCCAUUCUAUGUUGCUACAGGAGAAACAUCUCCUGUUUCAGAUACCCUGCUUCUUAACGAAACUGUGUGCUGAUGCCUGUGUAGAGUAGUGUACCGUUCUGUGGAGAGAACAAACCCAGAGUGCCUUCACCUGGUAGCAACUGGGUUCCUGAACUAUGGCAGCAGUGAACAUCUUUAUGGCGUUUUAAAGACCCGGCAUGCUUUGAAUUGGAAUGCAGCAUGCGAUGUGAAGACCUUAGAGAUUGAAUGAUGGACAAGGACGACAAGACAAGGACAUUGGGAGCCUGACCAAGACAUUCAGAUUUAACUUGCAGAUGGCAGUGAUCAAGACAAUGUUGUGCAAAAAUCUCAGACACCAGCAGAAAACACAGUCUUUUAAAAAUUAGUGUCAGCAUUGUUCCUGAUUGGUAGAUUGUAAUUAUUUACAUUUAUGGGAUACAAUGUGAUGUUUUGACACAUUUACGCAACAUAGAAUGCCUAAAUCAAACUGAGCAUCAUAUCCAUCAUUGUGCUUACCUGUUAUAAUUUUUAUAGGAAGACAUUUGGAGUUGUCUCAUGUUUAUAUUGAAAUCUGUAAUAUAUCGUAAUUAUAGUAUGCACAUAUAUAAUGUAUCUCAAAGCCUGGUCUCUUAUCUGAAACUCUGUCCCCUUUGAUGGACCCUUCCCUGAUUUUUAGCCCCAAUUUCUUGCCUUUUCCUCUUUAUGGACUCUGGUAAGUAUCAUUCCAUUUUCUACUCCUAUGAACUUAACUUUGAUUUCAUAUAACAGUGAGAUCAUAGGUGAUUGGACUUUCUGUUUCUGGAUAAUUAUAUUUACCAUAAUGGCCAUGUCCCAAUUUAUCUGUGUUGUCACAAGUCUCAUAAUUUCCCUGUUUUUAUGGCUAAUCAGUAUAUCCUACUAUGUAUACAUGUUGCAUUUUCUAUAGCAGUUUACACACAGAUGUACAUGUUAUUUAAUUUCACAUGCUGCCUGUUGUAAAUAGCCCUGAAGUGAACAUGGGUGCAUGCACUCCUUCAACACAUUGGUUUCAGCUCCUUCGGAUAUAUAUCUAGUAAUGUGAUUACUACAUUAUGUAGAAAUUCUGUUUUGGGUUUUUAGGAGCCUCUCCUCAUCAUUUUCCAGAAUGUCUAUAUUGAUUUAUGUUUUCAGAAACUGUAUAGGAGAAUUUCCAUUCCCCCAGUCCCCUGAAUAAUUGCUAUGGUUUUUCUUCUUGAUAAAGACUUUCUAAUAGAUGCAGGAUUAUAUCACUUCAUGCUUUUACUUGUAUUAUUCUAAUGACUAGUGAUGCUGAGACUUUUUUCAUGGUCUAUUUGUCAUUUAUACUUCUUUUAUGGAGAAAUACAAGUUCAUUUCCUUGGCUCAUGGGUAAGUCGGAUUUUUUCCUUGCUAUUGAGUUGAUUUCCCUAUAUAUUUAAGAUAUGAUCACCUUAUCAGCCAUACAUUUGUAGCUAUUUCCGCUGUGGGGUUGUGUGUUCACUUUAAUCAUUCAUUAUGCUUUGAAGAGCAUUUGGUUUGAUGUGAACUCAUUUAAUUAUUUUUGCUUCUGUCUCCCAUGAUUACAGGGUCAUAUCUAAGAAUUGUCUAAACCUGUUGUGAGCAGAGUACUUGAGAGGCAGAGGCAGGUGGGAUCUCUUAGUUUGGGGCCAGCCUGGUCUGUAUAGUGAGUUCUAGUCCAUCUAAGGUUGCAUAAUGAAACUCUGUCUCAAAAACAAAACAAAGCAUAACACAACAACAAAAACAGCCAAUGCUUCAGUGCUUUUUGCUUCUUUCUUAAUAAUUUACAGUUGAGGUCUCAUAUGUAAGUCUUUAUCCCAGUUUUGGUUGAUUUUUGCAUGUAUUACUAGAUUAGACUUUAGUUCUAUCCAUGAACACAACCAGUUUCAUAGUUCUCUGUAUUUAGGACACCAUCAUUUUGCAUUUGUGUAUUAUUAGUUCUUUGGUUAAAGGUCAACUAUUGGUAAUUUCUUUUUUAAUUU